rnacentral:rRNA from 1 species
GACGAACGCUGGCGGCGUGCUUAACACAUGCAAGUCGAACGGAGCGAAUGAAAGCUUGCUUUUAUGAGCUUAGUGGCAAACGGGUGAGUAACACGUAGACAACCUGCCGACAGGAUGGGGACAACAUUCCGAAAGGAAUGCUAAUACCGAAUGAAGCGGAGGAGAGGCAUCUCUCUUCCGUGAAAGAUGGCCUCUUUUUAUGCUAUCACCUGUUGAUGGGUCUGCGUCUGAUUAGCUGGUAGGUGAGGUAACGGCUCACCUAGGCGACGAUCAGUAGCCGGUCUGAGAGGAUGAACGGCCACAUUGGGACUGAGACACGGCCCAGACUCCUACGGGAGGCAGCAGUGGGGAAUCUUCCGCAAUGGGCGCAAGCCUGACGGAGCAACGCCGCGUGAGUGAAGAAGGUCUUCGGAUCGUAAAGCUCUGUUGACGGGGACGAACGUGCGUGAUGCGAACAGUGUCAUGCAAUGACGGUACCUGUCGAGGAAGCCACGGCUAACUACGUGC